rnacentral:rRNA from 1 species
CCUACGGGAGGCAGCAGUAGGGAAUCUUCCACAAUGGGCGAAAGCCUGAUGGAGCAACGCCGCGUGGGUGAAGAAGGUCUUCGGAUCGUAAAACCCUGUUUUUAGAGAAGAAAGUGCGUGAGAGUAACUGUUCACGUGUCGACGGUAUCUAACCAGAAAGCCACGGCUAACUACGUGCCAGCAGCCGCGGUAAUACGUAGGUGGCAAGCGUUGUCCGGUUUUAUUGGGCGUAAAGGGAACGCAGGCGGUCUUUUAAGUCUGAUGUGAAAGCCUUCGGCUUAACCGGGGUAGUGCAUUGGAAACUGGGAGACUUGAGUGCAGAAGAGGAGAGUGGAACUCGAUGUGUAGCGGUGAAAUGCGUAGAUAUAUGGAAGAACACCAGUGGCGAAGGCGGCUCUCUGGUCUGUAACUGACGCUGAGGUUCGAAAGCGUGGGUAGCAAACAGGAUUAGAUACCCGAGUAGUC